rnacentral:lncRNA from 1 species
GGAGGACUGGGAAGGUGGGAAGUGGGAGGACCGUCCAACAUGGCGCUGUGGAAAGCCAGCGCAGGGCCCCAGGGGAUCUUCCGGGGCGGAUGCAGCUGCCUAGGAGUGCUGGGGCUCGCGCGCCUCGGCGGCUCAAACUCUGACCCCUUGAGAUCCUUUCCAGCCCGACCCCUUACUUUAGGGGUCAGCCUGCCCCCGUAAGUCCUGUUAUUUAUUGUAUUUAUAUUCUUUUUUUAGUUGGUCCUUUUUUGUUUGUUUUUGAGACGGAGUUUCACUCUUGUUGCCCAGGCUGGAGUGCCAUGGCGCGAUCUCAGCUCACUCCAAUCUCUGCCCUCCGGGUUCAAGCGAUUCUCCAGCCUCAGCCUCCCGAGUAGCUGGAAUUACAGGCGCGCGCCAACACGUCCGGCUAAUUUUCGUAUUUGUAGUAGAGACGGGGGUUUCGCCACCUUGGCCAGGCUGGUCUAGAACUCCUGACCUUAGGUGAUCCACCCGCCUCGGCCUCCUAAAGUGCUGGGAUUACAGGCGUGAGCCACCGCCCCUCACGCCUGGCUAGUUUGUCCUUUUCAUGGGGACUUUUUAUUGUACGCGGGUUACUCUGAAAAAGAUCGCGAUUCGUCCCCUCGCCCUGCAGGCGCCGCUGCCGCCUCGCCUCGGGCGUGGACCCUGCGGCUCGGGCCUGCGCGUGUGCACCCCGAGGUUGUCUCACUUCCUGUUCAGGGCGACCAGCGCUGCGCCCUCCCCACUCCACAGAUGAGGAAGCUGAGGUUAAAGUCACUUGCCCCAGGUCACUCCGCAAGUUGAAGCGCAACCAGGAUACUCUGGAACAGGAUGCCUGACUUCAGAGGAGAGGCGCGUAACCACCAGGCAACUGGCCCCACGAAAACAAGUCCCGCAACUUCCCUUCUUUGGCUCCUACUUGCUCCCGGAAGAAAAGCCUUAAACGACAGCAGAUCAGGAGCACCCCGCGCGCCCCCCCCCGCCCCGCCCCGCGUCGGCGCCGGCCCCCUGCAAUGGUUGGCGGUAUGGGGAGGUGAACCAAGAAGGCCAGGAGUUCAAGUGCGUGAUCCCCCACUGGGGCAUAUAGGUUACAGCCGCCAGGGCAACUGAAACUCCUCAGGCUCCAGAGGGCUGAAGUGAGUCGCCUC